rnacentral:rRNA from 1 species
AACGAACGCUGGCGGCAGGCUUAACACAUGCAAGUCGAGCGCCCGCAAGGGAGCGGCAGACGGGUGAGUAACGCGUGGGAAUCUACCCAGUUCUACGGAAUAACACAGGGAAACUUGUGCUAAUACCGUAUACGCCCUACGGGGGAAAGAUUUAUCGGAAUUGGAUGAGCCCGCGUUGGAUUAGCUAGUUGGUAGGGUAAUGGCCUACCAAGGCGACGAUCCAUAGCUGGUCUGAGAGGAUGAUCCGCCACACUGGGACUGAGACACGGCGCAGACUCCUACGGGAGGCAGCAGUGGGGAAUAUUGGACAAUGGGCGAAAGCUUGAUCCAGCCAUGCCGCGUGAGUGAUGAAGGCCUUAGGGUUGUAAAGCUCUUUCAGUGGGGAAGAUAAUGACGGGACCCACAGAAGAAGCCCCGGCUAACUUCGUGCCAGCAGCCGCCGUAAAAC